rnacentral:rRNA from 1 species
GAUGAACGCUAGCGGCAGGCCUAACACAUGCAAGUCGAGGGGUAGCAGGAUUAAGCUUGCUUAAUUGCUGACGACCGGCGCACGGGUGCGUAACGCGUAUGCAACCUACCUUAUACUGGGGUAUAGCCCGGAGAAAUUCGGAUUAAUCCCCCAUAGUACUAAUGAAUCGCAUGGAUUAUUAGUUAAAGCAUUGCGGUAUAAGAUGGGCAUGCGUCCUAUUAGCUAGAUGGUGAGGUAACGGCUCACCAUGGCUACGAUAGGUAGGGGGCCUGAGAGGGUGGUCCCCCACACUGGUACUGAGACACGGACCAGACUCCUACGGGAGGCAGCAGUGAGGAAUAUUGGUCAAUGGGCGCAAGCCUGAACCAGCCAUGCCGCGUGCAGGAAGAAUGCCCUAUGGGUUGUAAACUGCUUUUAUUUGGGAAUAAACCUCUUUACAUGUAGAGAGCCGAAGGUACCAAAUGAAUAAGCACCGGCUAACUCCGUGCCAGCAGCCGCAGUAA